rnacentral:rRNA from 1 species
GCUCGAGUGGCGAACGGGUGAGUAACACGUGAGUAACCUGCCCUUGACUUUGGGAUAACUUCAGGAAACUGGGGCUAAUACCGGAUAGGAGCUCCUGCUGCAUGGUGGGGGUUGGAAAGUUUCGGCGGUUGGGGAUGGACUCGCGGCUUAUCAGCUUGUUGGUGGGGUAGUGGCUUACCAAGGCUUGACGGGUAGCCGGCCUGAGAGGGUGACCGGCCACAUUGGGACUGAGAUACCGGCCCAG